rnacentral:misc_RNA from 1 species
AACGCACAUUGCGCCCAUUAGUAUUCUAGUGGGCAUGCCUGUUCGAGCGUCAUUUCAACCCUUAAGCCCCUGUUGCUUAGCGUUGGGAAUCUAGGUCUCCAGGGCCUAGUUCCCCAAAGUCAUCGGCGGAGUCGGAGCGUACUCUCAGCGUAGUAAUACUAUUCUCGCUUUUGCAGUAGCCCCGGCGGCUUGCCGUAAAACCCCUAUGUCUUUAGUGGUUGACCUCGAAUCAGGUAGGAAUACCCGCUGAACUUAA